UACGUAUGGAGCAAGCGUUAUCCGGAUUUACUGGGUGUAAAGGGAGAGUAGGUGGCAGAGCAAGUCCGAAGUGAAAACCCAAAGCUCAACUAUGGGAAUGCUUUAGAAACUGCUCAGCUAGAGUGCAGGAGAGGCAAGUGGAAUUCUUAGUGUAGCGGUGAAAUGCGUAGAUAUUAGGAGGAACACCAGUGGCGAAGGCGGCUUGCUGGACUGUAACUGACACUGAGGCUCGAAAGCGUGGGGAGCAAACA
rnacentral:rRNA from 1 species